rnacentral:rRNA from 1 species
UAAGCAUAUUAGUAGGCGGUGGAAGAUAAUCCAAAAGGGAUUCCUUCAGUAAUGGCGAAUGAACGGGGAAAAGCUCAGCAAAGAAAUCGAGGACUCCGGCCUUGAGUUGUGGACUUGAGAGGUAUCGCCAAUGGUGGCACGGGUGGGGGCCUCUUGGAAAAGGGCACCACAGAGGGUGUGAGUCCUGUUUGCCAUCUGUAGUCCGCCGUGUACGGCAUGCCUCCUCAGAGUCACGUUCCUUGGAAUUGGAGCGCGAAGGUGGUGGUGGCUUUCAUCUCAAGCUAAGUAUGGGUUCGAGACCGAUAGCAAACAAGUACCAUGAGGGAAAAUUGAAAAGAGCUUUGGAAAGAGAGUUAAAAGUGCCCGAACUUGCUGAUAGGGAAGCGAAGGGAGCUGACGUUGCUUGGUAACAUCUUCUGCGCAAGACUAGGAUGGGUUCUGAUUGCAAUGUGCGUAGUGUUUCUUGCCGUGCGUGUCGAUGCCAAGCAAUGAGUGGGGAGAGCUCCAGGGAUAUGAUUGUUUCUGUCCCCGGGUAGACGAAGGUGCCUGGUUGCAUCCAUUCGUGGGCUGAAAAAUUGGUGGCUGGUUGCAGCGCUCCAUGCCUAUCAGGCAAUUGGGGUGUAGCCCUGACACGCAGACGAGGACAAAGUGCUUCUGUUCGACCCGUCUUGAAACACGGACCAAGGAGUCUGACACUCAUGCAAGCUCGUUGGUGGGUAAACUUGUUCGCGUAAUUAAGGUGUCUGUUGUGAUUUGUGCAGCAACGCCCGACCAAUCAAUUGAGAGAGGUUUGAGUGUGAGCAUUUCUGUCAGGACCCGAAAGAUGGUGAACUAUGCCUGAGAAGGGUAAAUUCAGGGGAAACUCUGAUUGAGGCUCGUAGCGAUACUGACGUGCAAAUCGUUCGUCAUACUUGGGUAUAGGGGCGAAAGACUAAUCGAACCAUCUAGUAGCUGGUUUCCC